AGUAUCACAUUUUAAAUAACUUAUAUAUGAUCAUAAUAUGGUUGAUCGUCUCUACCCAACACCGUAAAUGUUGGCCUAUAAGUAAAAAAGAGCGUAGA
rnacentral:ncRNA from 2 species